UUAGGCCACCCCUGUGAAAGAGUCUUUUGAGCCCCCAGAGGGGUUGAGAAUCAACGGUAUUCCACAUGUCAGCGCAAGAGAGCAGGGCUUCAGUGUCAUUGUUGCUGUGUCAGGGAACAGACAUGGAACAGCUUGGAAUGUGUCGAGGAAGGCACAACUACUGCCCAUCAGCAGACGUAGGAGUAUCGUCGUGAUAGGGGGAGUGUGAGGUACUACCGGCUUGCUGAAUAAACAAGACCUCAGCCAGUUGCUUUAAAAUGAUAUACCUUGUUCCAGCUCUCUUCUACCUCACGCCAACCCUCAAAGACCUCACUCUUUGAAUAAUCCUUUUACAUGUCACUCUUACCAUAUGUUAAACUAGCACGGCAUUUGAAUAUAUACAUACAGAGACAGGUUUUUUUUUUUAUCCUAUCUCGCCAACUUAUCUAUGCACUCACUGUGUGUCUUUGAGGACUACAGUUUUACACUUUUAUUUAUUUAUUUUUUUUUUAGUCUCUGUAGCUUGCCACAUUCCUCUACUUGACAUUGUCAGUGGCUUUUACCAUUCUUCUUGUCAGUUUUCUUCCUGGAAUGCAAAACAAAAACAGUUUUGGUCAGCCCUUGUAUAGAAAGCACAGGGCAUGCAGUCUCUACAUGAAGAGCAUUUGGUGAUUUUAGAACACCCUCUAUCUUACCAAAUGUUGCAAGUCUUUACGGUUGUUAAAACCUUUGGGGUCCUUCAGCUUUUGCUGGCUUAUUGUUUAUUCUAAGGUAUUUGAUUUUGUUUAGGUUAUGAAAAAUGAGCAUUUAUUCUCCAGGCUAUCCUCUAGUUGGUUGCUGUAUAUUGGUGAUGGUUACUAUUGUUUUGCACUAUUAAUUAAUCCUUUCAUAGCAGAAAAUAGCUUUGUAGUUAACGUUUACCAGUAUAAGAAUGGUAUGUAUUGUGUUCUCUAUAAUGUUGUCUUCGACCUCAUUAGUUGUUUUGCUCAUGAGGGCAAAUUUCUCUAGGACAUUGUUUAAUAACAGUAGUGACAGUACUUUUGUGCUGUCCUGACUUCACUGUAAGUGCUUGUCAACAUUUGGUUCUUAAGCUUGGUGGGUUUUAGCAAGAAAAUAACUAUUUUCUCAUUAAGAAAUUUUUAACAUAAAAAUCUGGUUAUCUUAUCCUA